rnacentral:rRNA from 1 species
UUUACCUACGGGACGCAGCAGUGGGGAAUAUUGCACAAUGGGGGAAACCCUGAUGCAGCGACGCCGCGUGAGUGAAGAAGUAUUUCGGUAUGUAAAGCUCUAUCAGCAGGGAAGAAGAAAGACGGUACCUGACUAAGAAGCCCCGGCUAACUACGUGCCAGCAGCCGCGGUAAUACGUAGGGGGCAAGCGUUAUCCGGAUUUACUGGGUGUAAAGGGAGCGUAGACGGCUGUGCAAGUCUGCAUUGAAAGCCCAGGGCU